rnacentral:rRNA from 1 species
GACGAACGCUGGCGGCGUGCCUAAUACAUGCAAGUAGGACGCAGUUGCGAACGGGGGAGUAACGCGUAGGUAACUACCUAUUAGAGGGGGAUAACCAUUGGAAACGAUAGCUAAUACCCCAUACUUGUAGAUGGACCUGCGUUGUAUUAGCUAGUAGGUUGGGUAAUGGCCUACCUAGGCAACUAUUCAUAGCCGACCUGGGAGGAUGAUCGGCCACACUGGGACGGGGACACGGCCCAGACUCCUACGGGAGGCAGCAGUAGGGAAUCUUCGGCAAUGGGGGGAACGCUGACCGAGCAACGCCGGGUGAGUGAAGAAGGUUUUCGGAUCGUAAAGCUCUGUUGUUAAGGAAGCGGUACUUAACCAGAAAGGGACGGCUAACUACGUGCCAGCAGCCGCGGUAAUUC